rnacentral:sRNA from 1 species
CCGGCGGAGCGGGCGGGAGUCGGAGAGCCCCCGGAGCCGGGCGGGCGUCCCGAGCCGGGCCCGCGGGGCUUCGUCCCGCAGAAGGAGAUCGUCUACAACAAGCUGCUGCCCUACGCCGAGCGGCUAGACGCCGAGUCCGACUUGCAGCUGGCCCAGAUCAAAUGCAACCUGGGCCGGGCCGUGCAGCUCCAAGAGCUGUGGCCCGGGGGCCUCUUCUGGACCAGGAAACUCUCCACAUAUAUUCGACUUUAUGGGAGAAAAUUUAGCAAAGAAGAUCAUGUUCUUUUUAUUAAGUUAUUGUAUGAGCUGGUAUCAAUUCCAAAACUGGAAAUCAGCAUGAUGCAGGGAUUUGCCCGCCUUUUGAUCAACUUGUUAAAGAAAAAGGAACUUCUUUCAAGAGAUGAUUUGGAGUUACCCUGGAGACCACUUUAUGACAUGGUAGAAAGAAUAUUGUAUUCCAAGACAGAGCACCUAGGAUUAAAUUGGUUUCCUAAAAACAUUGUUCCCUUCAUCUUGAGAGAUUACAAGAAUCACAAAAGGUCACUAUACAGAUAUCACAGUUCUGUAGAAAAUAUUCUCAAAACACUCGUGAAAAGCUGCCGACCGUAUUUUCCAGCAGAUGCCACCACUGAGAUGCUAGAAGAAUGGCGACCUUUAAUGUGCCCCUUUGAUGUAACCAUGCAAAAGGCCAUCACUUACUUUGAAAUAUUUCUUCCUACCUCCCUUCCUCCAGAACUUCAUCAUAAAGGUUUUAAACUUUGGUUUGAUGAAUUAAUUGGCCUUUGGGUUUCGGUGCAAAAUCUCCCACAGUGGGAGGGGCAACUAGUAAAUCUCUUUGCUCGAUUGGCUACAGAUAAUAUAGGGUACAUAGAUUGGGAUCCAUAUG